AGUGAACGCUGGCGGUAGGCCUAACACAUGCAAGUCGAACGGCAGCACAGGAGAGCUUGCUCUCUGGGUGGCGAGUGGCGGACGGGUGAGGAAUACAUCGGAAUCUACUUUUUCGUGGGGGAUAACGUAGGGAAACUUACGCUAAUACCGCAUACGACCUACGGGUGAAAGCAGGGGACCUUCGGGCCUUGCGCGAUUGAAUGAGCCGAUGUCGGAUUAGCUAGUUGGCGGGGUAAAGGCCCACCAAGGCGACGAUCCGUAGCUGGUCUGAGAGGAUGCUCAGCCACACUGGAUCUGAGACACGGUCCGGACUCCUACGGGAGGCAGCAGUGGGGAAUAUUGGACAAUGGGCGCAAGCCUGAUCCAGCCAUACCGCGUGGGUGAAGAAGGCCUUCGGGUUGUAAAGCCCUUUUGUUGGGAAAGAAAUCCAGCCGACUAAUACCUGGUUGGGAUGACGGUACCCAAAGAAUAAGCACCGGCUAACUCUGUGCCAGCAGCCGCCGUAACAC
rnacentral:rRNA from 1 species